UCCCUGGUGGUCCAGUGGUUAGGACUCUGUGCUUCCACUACAGGGGGCCUAGGUUCCAUCCUUGGUCAGGGAA
rfam:Ovis aries breed Texel chromosome 1, whole genome shotgun sequence.